UUGCAGUACCUCCAGGAACGGUG
rnacentral:piRNA from 2 species